AGAGUUUGAUCCUGGCUCAGAACGAACGCUGGCGGCGUGCUUAACACAUGCAAGUCGCGUGCGCAGUUCGCGUAGCAAUACGUGGAUGGGCGCACGGCGCACGGGUGCGUAACACGUGGGCAACCUGCCCUCUGAUGGGGAAUAACCCCGCGAAAGCGGGGCUAAUACCGCAUAACAUUCCUUGGAUUAUGGUUUGAGGAAUCAAAGCAGUGAUGCGUCGGAGGAGGGGCCCGCGCCCGAUUAGGUAGUUGGUGAGGUAACGGCUCACCAAGCCAAUGAUCGGUAGCUGGUCUGAGAGGAUGAUCAGCCACACUGGAACUGAGACACGGUCCAGACUCCUACGGGAGGCAGCAGUGGGGAAUCUUGCACAAUGGGCGAAAGCCUGAUGCAGCGACGCCGCGUGGGGGAUGAAGCUUUUCGGAGUGUAAACCCCUUUCGACCGGGACGAAUGCCCGCAAGGGAGUGACGGUACCGGUAUAAGAAGCCCCGGCUAACUACGUGCCAGCAGCCGCGGUAAGACGUAGGGGGCCAGCGUUGUUCGGAAUUACUGGGUGUAAAGGGUUCGUAGGCGGUGUGGCAAGUCGGGAGUGAAAUCUCUGGGCUCAACUCAGAGGCUGCUUCCGAAACUGCUGUGCUUGAGUGUGAGAGAGGCUCGUGGAAUUGCAGGUGUAGCGGUGAAAUGCGUAGAUAUCUGCAGGAACACCCGUGGCGAAAGCGGCGAGCUGGAUCACUACUGACGCUGAGGAACGAAAGCUAGGGGAGCAAACAGGAUUAGAUACCCUGGUAGUCCUAGCCCUAAACGAUCAGGACUUGGGGUGCCACCCGUUCGGGUGUCGUCCCGGAGCUAACGCGUUAAGUCCUGCACCUGGGGAGUACGGUCGCAAGACUGAAACUCAAGGAAUUGACGGGGGCCCGCACAAGCGGUGGAACAUGUGGUUCAAUUCGACGCUACGCGAGGAACCUUACCUGGGCUCGAAAUGCUAGUGACCAGCUG
rnacentral:rRNA from 1 species